UAGGGAAUCUUCGGCAAUGGACGAAAGUCUGACCGAGCAACGCCGCGUGAGUGAAGAAGGUUUUCGGAUCGUAAAACUCUGUUGUUAGAGAAGAACAAGGACGUUAGUAACUGAACGUCCCCUGACGGUAUCUAACCAGAAAGCCACGGCUAACUACGUGCCAGCAGCCGCGGUAAUACGUAGGUGGAAAGCGUUGUCCGGAUUUAUUGGGCGUAAAGCGAGCGCAGGCGGUUUCUUAAGUCUGAUGUGAAAGCCCCCGGCUCAACCGGGGAGGGUAAUUGGAAACUGGGUGACUUGAGUGCAGAAGAGGAGAGUGGAAUUGCAUGUGUAGCGGUGAAAUGCGUAGAUAUAUGGAAGAACACCAGUGGCAUAGGCGGCUCUCUGGUCUGUAACUGACGCUGAGGCUAGAAAGCGUGGGGAGCAAACAGG
rnacentral:rRNA from 1 species